UACGAAGGUCCCAAGCGUUGUUCGGAAUCACUGGGCGUAAAGGGUGCGUAGGCGGCGUGGUAAGUCAGAUGUGAAAUCCCGGGGCUCAACCUCGGAACUGCAUCCGAUACUGCCAUGCUUGAGGACUGGAGAGGUGACUGGAAUUCUCGGUGUAGCAGUGAAAUGCGUGGAUAUCGAGAGGAACACUCGUGGCGUAAGCGAGUCACUGGACAGUAUCUGACGCUGAGGCACGAAGGCCAGGGUAGCGAAAGGGAUUAGAAACCCCAGUAGUCC
rnacentral:rRNA from 1 species